AACGAACGCUGGCGGCGUGCCUAACACAUGCAAGUCGAGCGAGAAAGCCCGCAAGGGUGAGUAAAGCGGCGCACGGGUGCGUAACACGUGGGUAAUCUGCCCUGAAGUCCGGAAUAACUCGCCGAAAGGCGUGCUAAUGCCGGAUAAGACCACGGGAGCCUCGGCUCCUGCGGGAAAAGGUGGCCUCUGUACACAAGCUAUCACUUCAGGAUGAGCCCGCGGCCCAUCAGCUCGUUGGCGGGGUAAUGGCCCACCAAGGCUACGACGGGUAGCUGGUCUGAGAGGACGAUCAGCCACACUGGAACUGAGACACGGUCCAGACUCCUACGGGAGGCAGCAGUGGGGAAUCUUGCGCAAUGGGCGAAAGCCUGACGCAGCAACGCCGCGUGUGUGAUGAAGGUCUUCGGACCGUAAAGCACUGUCGCGAGGGACGAAUAAGGGGCGGGCUAACAUCCCGUUCCGAUGACGGUACCUCGAGAGGAAGCACCGGCUAACUCUGUGCCAGCAGCCGCGGUAAUACAGAGGGUGCAAGCGUUGUUCGGAAUUAUUGGGCGUAAAGCGCGUGUAGGCGGCUUUGUAAGUUGGGUGUGAAAGCCCUCGGCUUAACCGAGGAAGUGCGCCCAAAACUGCAUGGCUUGAGUACCGGAGAGGGUGGCGGAAUUCCCGGUGUAGAGGUGAAAUUCGUAGAUAUCGGGAGGAACACCAGCGGCGAAGGCGGCCACCUGGUCGGAUACUGACGCUGAGACGCGAAAGCGUGGGGAGCAAACAGGAUUAGAUACCCUGGUAGUCCACGCCGUAAACGAUGAGCGCUAGGUGUUGUGGGUGUUGACCCCUGCAGUGCCGCAGCUAACGCAUUAAGCGCUCCGCCUGGGAAGUACGGCCGCAAGGCUA
rnacentral:rRNA from 1 species